rnacentral:rRNA from 1 species
ACGUGAUCUGAGUUCAGACCGGAGUAAUCCAGGUCGGUUUCUAUCUAUAAGAGGUUCCUUCUAGUACGAAAGGAUCGAAGAAACACGGCCUAUGCACCAGUAAACCGUCUAUUAAAAUUAUGAAUUAAAACUUAACUUUAAAUCAAACCAUAACAUAGCCUAAUAAAAAGGUA